AACGAACGCUGGCGGCAGGCUUAACACAUGCAAGUCGAACGGUUGUAGCAAUACAGCAGUGGCAGACGGGUGAGUAACACGUGGGAGCCUUCCUAGGGGUACGGAACAACUCAGGGAAACUUGAGCUAAUACCGUAUACGUCCGUGAGGAGAAAGAUUUAUCGCCCUUAGACGGGCCCGCGUCGGAUUAGCUAGUUGGUGGGGUAACGGCCUACCAAGGCGACGAUCCGUAGCUGAUCUUAGAGGAUGAUCAGCCACACUGGGACUGAGACACGGCCCAGACUCCGACGGGAGGCAGCAGUGGGGAAUCUUGGACAAUGGGCGCAAGCCUGAUCCAGCCAUGCCGCGUGAGUGAAGAAGGUCUUCGGAUUGUAAAGCUCUUUUGCCAGGGACGAUAAUGACGGUACCUGGAGAAUAAGCCCCGGCAAACUUCGUGCCAGCAGCCGCAGUAA
rnacentral:rRNA from 1 species